CAGGUCUUCCUACUAAUACCCGAUUUCGAAAAAUCGUAUAAUGAUGUUCGAGAUCACCAUCGUGUGGUGCUUUCUGAGUAGCUUACGCGUCUGGGAACCAAGCUUCGGGCAUGUUCCUAUGUUUGCCGACAGGCUCUUGUCCUGUGAACCCUCAAAGAGUCAAAAACCAACUCAUAAUUCAAGAGAUUUUUGCCUAAUCCAGUCCGACUAGCGAAGCUAGAGAACAAGGGAGAUUAGAUAGAGAAUAUGAGUU
rnacentral:lncRNA from 1 species